GGGGAUGUUUUUGGAUUUGCCAGGGUCAUCAAAAUUUAUAUGGCAUAUCUUGGUUACGCAAGUAAAAACGUCGAGGUUUAUAAUAACCGGAAAACAUAACAAAACUAAAACAGCAUCAACUCCACUUGUUCAAAGUUGGAGUCCAGCUUCAUUCAGUACUUCUACAUUUUCACAAUUAGCUUUUGCUUAAAAAAAAUAGCAAAACCCAAACUUAAAUUAGCUUAAGAUUUAAGCUAGGAUAAUAAAAGUAAGCUUGCUACAAUAGUUUGUCUUUGGCUUUUGCUAGCAAUUCAAACAAAGACUAAUAAUUUAUUUUUUUGUUUAUUUAUAAAUAAAUUAUAAAACCCUUAAAAUAAACUAAAUAUGUAGAGCAUAUAAAUGAAAAUGGUCUUGUACAUGGGUUCGAGUCCCAUCAUCUCCACCA
rnacentral:tmRNA from 1 species